rnacentral:rRNA from 1 species
GACGAACGCUGGCGGCGUGCUUAACACAUGCAAGUCGAACGGAAAGGCCUGCUUUCCCUUGUGGAUUGCGGGUACUCGAGUGGCGAACGGGUGAGUAACACGUGAGUGAUCUGCCCCCAACUUGGGUAUAGGCCUGGGAAACUGGGUCUAAUUCCCGAUAGGACUGCAGGGUGGUGCCUGUGGUGGAAAACGAUUUUCUAGUGGUUGGGGAUGAGCUCGCGGCCUAUCAGCUUGUUGGUGGGGUAAUGGCCUACCAAGGCGGCGACGGGUAGCCGGCCUGGGAGGGUGGACGGCAACAUUGGGACUGAGAUACGGCCCAGACUCCUACGGGAGGCAGCAGCGGGGAAGAUUGCACAAUGGGCGGAAGCCUGAUGCAGCGACGCCGCGUGGGGGAUGACGGCCUUCGGGUUGUAAACUCCUUUCGACCGAGAGGAAGCCACCUGGUUGGAAGGGUGGUGACGGUAGUGGUAGAAGAAGCACCGGCUAACUACGUG